rnacentral:rRNA from 1 species
UAGGGAAUCUUCCACAAUGGACGCAAGUCUGACGGAGCAACGCCGCGUGAGUGAAGAAGGUUUUCGGACCGUAAAGCUCUGUUGUUGGUGAAGAAGGAUAGAGGUAGUAACUGGCCUUUAUUUGACGGUAAUCAACCAGAAAGUCACGGCUAACUACGUGCCAGCAGCCGCGGUAAUACGUAGGUGGCAAGCGUUGUCCGGAUUUAUUGGGCGUAAAGCGAGCGCAGGCGGAAGAAUAAGUCUGAUGUGAAAGCCCUCGGCUUAACCGAGGAAUUGCAUCGGAAACUGUUUUCUUGAGUGCAGAAGAGGAGAGUAGAACUCCAUGUGUAGCGGUGGAAUGCGUAGAUAUAUGGAAGAAUACCAGUGGCGAAGGCGGCUCUCUGGUCUGCAACUGACGCUGAGGCUCGAAAGCAUGGGUAGCGAACAGGAUUAGAUACCCUGGUAGUCCAUGCCGUAAACGAUGAGUGCUAAGUGUUGGGAGGCUUCCGCCUCUCAGUGCUGCAGCUAACGCAUUAAGCACUCCGCCUGGGGGAGUACGACCGCAAGGUUGAAAC